GCCGUUAUCAUUAGAGUUUGCAAACUCAGCUUUGGCACAUAUUCCAGAAGGAUGAUGCAAGACUCCAACCAAAAGUUCAACAGCAAGGGCUGAUGCAAUAGGAGCCAGCCCAGGACGAGUAACUGUACAUUGUUGGUCCAGGGUACGGUUAGCCGUUGAAUCAAUUGGUGCAACCACAUCAUUGCAGAAGUAACAUCCCAAUCGCACUGACUCUUUUUGGUUCGAAAGGG
rnacentral:misc_RNA from 1 species